rnacentral:rRNA from 1 species
UAAUAGAAUUUAAUCUUUAUUUUUGUUUCAGCACGGUUGUGAAUUGAUUAGUUUAAGAUCUUAGGUAAAAUUUAGAUUUAUUUUUGGYUUUUUGUUUCGUGUUUUUAAGAUUUGGUUGUACGAAUUAGAUUAGUACCUAAUUAGUCAAAAGUUAAAUUUUCAGGAGUAAAGUGUGAUUUAAACUGAAAGAAUAUUGGCAGAUUUUCUAAAUUAUCUUUGGAGGUUGAGUAAUAAUUGAGAACCCUCAUUAACUACUUGUUCUUAUUGGGCUCAUGUAUGAUCGUUUAUUUUAUACUUUAGGUUUAAAAUAAAAAUUUUUGUAUUAUAAAAAUAGAUAUAUACUUGGUUUAUGAGUUGAGUAAUAUUUGACCUACAUUAUUUUAUGAUUUUGGAUUGCUGAUUUAGUGUUAGUAUGAAAUUGUAAAAGACAGUAAAAAAAUUUUUAUGUUUUUUUGAAGAGUAUUUAGAGAUGGUACAAAUCAUCCAUCAAUUGCCCACA